ACUGAAACGGAUGAGGAGAGGGAGGAGUUUUUUGAGGAUAUGUUAGUAGAGUAUUUAAGCGAGAGGAAGCAGAGCCCGGUCCUUUCUAUCCUGCAGACUCUCUUGUCUGAGAUGGAGCGGAGAUGGUCUGCUUGUAUGCUGUGAUCUAGUGUGCAGUCUGCUGCCACUAGAUGACUGCACACGAGUUAAGACGUCACGCUGCCUAAGGAUCUCUUUUGAUGCUUGCAUUUAUUAUUUUAUUUUGAGGAGGAGAGGAGGAGAACCCAACUGCCAAGGGAUUCGGGCACUCGGGUCCGCUGCCCUGUUCUAGUGCAUUCUCUGGCAACACUGGAUCUCUGGCCAGGGUCCAGUGGACCUGAAGUGAACAGCGCCAGGUCUAUGACCCGCUGACGAAGCACCAGAAAACUAGAAGCAACCAAACCACACAAAAAUGAAAACUGAAGCCGACUACUACCCUUAACCCCCUUUUUCCCCCUUUGGUCGGCUUCUGGUUGUCUGUUGCUUGGUUGGCAGGCUGUGGGGAUGGCCUGCUGCAAAAACAACCAUUUUUUAAAUUUUAUUUUAUGAAGGCUGAGCGCAACUCUUUCCAGAAAAAUCAAUAAAAAUGGAAAAACCUGAAACUGAAA